rnacentral:rRNA from 1 species
AACGAACGCUGGCGGCAGGCCUAACACAUGCAAGUCGAGCGCCCUCUUCGGAGGGAGCGGCGGACGGGUUAGUAACGCGUGGGAAUAUGCCCAAAGGUACGGAACAACCGCUGGAAACGGCGGCUAAUACCGUAUGUGCCCUACGGGGGAAAGAUUUAUCGCCUUUGGAUUAGCCCGCGUUGGAUUAGCUAGUUGGUGAGGUAACGGCUCACCAAGGCGACGAUCCAUAGCUGGUUUGAGAGGAUGAUCAGCAACACUGGGACUGAGACACGGCCCAGACUCCUACGGGAGGCAGCAGUGGGGAAUCUUGGACAAUGGGGGCAACCCUGAUCCAGCCAUGCCGCGUGAGUGAAGAAGGCCUUAGGGUCGUAAAGCUCUUUCACCGGUGAAGAUAAUGACGGUAGCCGGAGAAGAAGCCCCGGCUAACUCCGUG